rnacentral:rRNA from 1 species
UACGUAGGGUGCGAGCGUUAAUCGGAAUUACUGGGCGUAAAGUGUGCGCAGGCGGCUGAGCAAGUCGAGUGUGAAAUCCCCGGGCUUAACUUGGGAAUUGCAUUUGUGACUGCAUGGCUAGAGUGCGGCAGAGGGGGAUGGAAUUCCGCGUGUAGCAGUGAAAUGCGUAGAUAUGCGGAGGAACACCGAUGGCGAAGGCAAUCCCCUGGGCCUGCACUGACGCUCAUGCACGAAAGCGUGGGGAGCAAACAGG